UUCAUGGUGAUGAUAACCAUCAACUGAGUGCCGUUACCGAUCUAUUUUUGAUUGGUUCUGGCGAAUUUAAAGGGAUGUUCGCAGUUGCGAGGCAUUUGUCUGAAUGAUCC